GUACGGAGGGUGCGAGCGUUGUUCGGAAUUAUUGGGCGUAAAGCGCGUGUAGGCGGUUUGUUAAGUCUGAUGUGAAAGCCCCGGGCUCAACCUGGGAAGUGCAUUGGAUACUGGCAGACUUGAAUACGGGAGAGGGCAGUGGAAUUCCUGGUGUAGGAGUGAAAUCCGUAGAUAUUAGGAGGAACACCGGUGGCGAAGGCGGCUACCUGGACCGAUAUUGACGCUGAGACGCGAAAGCGUGGGGAGC
rnacentral:rRNA from 1 species